CUUUUAUGAUGAUAAUAUUCUGCCAAAUGAUACUCAGUGGUGAUAUUAACCCUUUACCGUUCCAUUUUUUGUCUGAAGUG
rfam:Lingula anatina scaffold849, whole genome shotgun sequence.